CUUUAAUUCGCCACGUAGUUAUGGCUGUGUCAACGGUGAGGUAAGUGUGCCCAGUGGGGACCUGGAUAUUCCCCCUGGUCCAGAGGGAGUGGGGGGUUACAGGGCUAAGAGGGUUCACUUCAGGACACUAUGUCUUAGGCAGGAUAUUGGCCAUCUCUCUGCGACAAUGGGCUGGAAAUUCUGCUAGACGGUGGUUCCGGUCAGCAAACGUUGCU